ACGCCCUCAGAAAGUGUGCAUGAGAAGAGGUUUUUGCAAGUGUACAUACUUAAAUUUUCGUUUGCUCGCUCGUGUCAAAAUCAAAUUAUGCGACUUCCAACCACCUUCUUUUUCAUUCUCGACUGUCAUCAGGCGACGGUUGCCGUUGCAAUUUUUUAUCUGUUGUGGCAGGUUGCAAUUGGAGUGAUCAUUGAGUUUGGGUAUUCUGUUGAGCGAACCUUGGAAUUGACCGCUGAUCAAGAUCAUCCACUCCCUCACUUUUCGCAGCUAGAAAUUGAUGCAAUCUAUGCAGUUUAUUUUGUUGAAUUUAUGAAGUUGUUGUUUGCAUUCUUGUUGCUGUUUGCCGUUUGGAAGAAAACGAGAUGGUGUAUGCUGCCCUGGCUGGUUGCGACAGCAGUGGAGUUCGUUUUGGACUUGUUUAUUUGCUUUGUUAUGCUGAGGCACAUAAUCACGUUGGCGAUAAACCCUUUCUUCGCUGUAGUAGUGUGGCUCACAUUCCACGCAGUUAUAAUUGGUUCGGAAUUAUAUUCGUUUCUGGUGGUUUACUGCAGUUUCAACGAUAUUGGAAAAACAAUAAACUUGACAACCAGAGAAGGUGAAGAAAGUGCCGUCCCUUUCCAAACCUUGCGUGAUGACAGUGCAUUCAGCAUAAGAGACGUUUGAUCGAUUAAGUGAUAAACUAACAAUUUAAUGAUAUUAAUCAAUACUUUCAAUAAUCAGAAGGGCUUCCUAAAAAUUAAAACAAAUUAUUUUAACUAUGAAUUGGCGAUGAUCGUGCUUUGUCUAGGGGUUUCAAAUACAUUGCUCUGUGUGGGCCAUUUUAACCACUUAAUUUUUCGGUCAUUCUUCAAAACUAUCCUGUUUUUCCUUUGGAUUCUGAAACGCCUUUGAUUCAGCGAUACUUGAAAUACGAGAGGAUUCUUUUGGUUUUGCUUGGAAAUAAUAUUCAAGCGUAGUCACUUUAUGGUUGUUAAAACUGUGAGUUUACCACACAGCUUGAUGGGUUCUUUCGCAGAAUAAUGUUACUAAGUUGUUUAUCCUUGAUUUUGUGUUAAUGCAUCAAUUUUAUGCUCAAGUUAUUUUAUACUCCCUUUAAUCCAUUACAUGAUUAUUAUUUUUUGUAUGUGAUACAAAUAAAGACAUAUGUAAUUAAAUUAAUAAAA